AUUGAACGCUGGCGGCAGGCCUAACACAUGCAAGUCGAGCGGGGUUUUCGGACCUAGCGGCGGACGGGUGAGUAAUGCGUAGGAAGCUGCCCGAUAGAGGGGGAUACCAGUUGGAAACGACUGUUAAUACCGCAUAAUGUCUACGGACCAAAGUGUGGGACCUUCGGGCCACAUGCUAUCGGAUGCGCCUACGUGGGAUUAGCUAGUUGGUGAGGUAAUGGCUCACCAAGGCGACGAUCUCUAGCUGGUUUGAGAGGAUGAUCAGCCACACUGGAACUGAGGCACGGUCCAGACUCCUACGGGAGGCAGCAGUGGGGAAUAUUGGACGAUGGGCGCAAGCCUGAUCCAGCCAUGCCGCGUGUGUGAAGAAGGCCUUCGGGUUGUAAAGCACUUUCAGCGAGGAGGAAGGGUGGUGUGUUAAUAGCACAUCAUUUUGACGUUACUCGCAGAAGAAGCACCGGCUAACUCUGUGCCAGCCGCCGCCGUAAGAC
rnacentral:rRNA from 1 species